rnacentral:rRNA from 1 species
GACGAACGCUGGCGGCGUGCUUAACACAUGCAAGUCGAACGGAAAGGCCCUGCUUUUGUGGGGUGCUCGAGUGGCGAAUGGGUGAGUAACACGUGAGUAACCUGCCCUUGACUUUGGGAUAACUUCAGGAAACUGGGGCUAAUACCGGAUAGGAGCUCCUGCUGCAUGGUGGGGGUUGGAAAGUUUCGGCGGUUGGGGAUGGACUCGCGGCUUAUCAGCUUGUUGGUGGGGUAGUGGCUUACCAAGGCUUUGACGGGUAGCCGGCCUGAGAGGGUGACCGGCCACAUUGGGACUGAGAUACGGCCCAGACUCCUACGGGAGGCAGCAGUGGGGAAUAUUGCACAGUGGGCGGAAGCCUGAUGCAGCAACGCCGCGUGCGGGAUGACGGCCUUCGGGUUGUAAACCGCUUUCGCCUGUGACGAAGCGUGAGUGACGGUAAUGGGUAAAGAAGCACCGGCUAACUACGUG